rnacentral:rRNA from 1 species
AUAGGACGUCCAACUUAACUUGGAGUCCGAACUCUCACUUUCUAACCCUGUGCACUUGUUUGGGAUAGUAACUCUCGCAAGAGAGCGAACUCCUAUUCACUUAUAAACACAAAGUCUAUGAAUGUAUUAAAUUUUAUAACAAAAUAAAACUUUCAACAACGGAUCUCUUGGCUCUCGCAUCGAUGAAGAACGCAGCGAAAUGCGAUAAGUAAUGUGAAUUGCAGAAUUCAGUGAAUCAUCGAAUCUUUGAACGCACCUUGCGCUCCAUGGUAUUCCGUGGAGCAUGCCUGUUUGAGUGUCAUGAAUACUUCAACCCUCCUCUUUCUUAAUGAUUGAAGAGGUGUUUGGUUUCUGAGCGCUGCUGGCCUUUACGGUCUAGCUCGUUCGUAAUGCAUUAGCAUCCGCAAUCGAACUUCGGAUUGACUUGGCGUAAUAGACUAUUCGCUGAGGAAUUCUAGUCUUCGGAUUAGAGCCGGGUUGGGUUAAAGGAAGCUUCUAAUCAGAAUGUCUACAUUUUAAGAUUAGAUCUCAAAUCAGGUAGGACUACCCGCUGAACUUAAGCAUAUCAAUAAGCGGAGGAAAAGAAACUAACAAGGAUUCCCCUAGUAGCGGCGAGCGAAGCGGGAAGAGCUCAAAUUUAUAAUCUGGCACCUUCGGUGUCCGAGUUGUAAUCUCUAGAAAUGUUUUCCGCGUUGGACCGCACACAAGUCUGUUGGAAUACAGCGGCAUAGUGGUGAGACCCCCGUAUAUGGUGCGGACGCCCAGCGCUUUGUGAUACAUUUUCGAAGAGUCGAGUUGUUUGGGAAUGCAGCUCAAAUUGGGUGGUAAAUUCCAUCUAAAGCUAAAUAUUGGCGAGAGACCGAUAGCGAACAAGUACCGUGAGGGAAAGAUGAAAAGCACUUUGGAAAGAGAGUUAACAGUACGUGAAAUUGUUGGAAGGGAAACGCUUGAAGUCAGACUUGCUUGCCGAGCAAUCGGUUUGCAGGCCAGCAUCAGUUUUCCGGGAUGGAUAAUGGUAGAGAGAAGGUAGCAGUUUCGGCUGUGUUAUAGCUCUCUGCUGGAUACAUCUUGGGGGACUGAGGAACGCAGUGUGCCUUUGGCGGGGGUUUCGACCU